rnacentral:tRNA from 1 species
GGGUUUUAGCUCAGUUGGCAGAGCGCCUGGUUCGCAAUCAGGAGGUCACGGGUUCGAAUCCCGUAAGCUCC